rnacentral:lncRNA from 1 species
CGAUAAGAGUACGUGUAAAAAGCAGCUAUUUGGGGGGGGGGAGGCACUGACAGCCAAGAUGGCCAGACAUGCUUUUUGAGAGCUCCAGCUCAGAUAAACCUAAAAUAACCUCUUACAGUCUGAAUCCGUGCAACCAACACUCAGUAAUUGAGGAGGCUUAAUGCUGAGACGAUCAAGAGCAAAAAGAUACCAGGCCUAGCGUGAAAGGUGGCCUGGCAGUUGGGGGAGGCGGCCGAUCCGCAGACACAAGGUCAGCCGGGAGCGACUACACUUCUGAAACCCCGCAACCACCCCCCAUGCCCAAGAUGGCCCCCACGAUGCAACCUCCACAGUCUCCAGAGUACCCUGAGGUCCUGUAAUGGAGACAGCGAUUUGAGGCCAAAUUCGACAAAAUAUGUCAAGAUGUCUGGAGGCACAUACAAGUCAGACCCCAACACCCAGCUCCACCUGCCACACUGGAGAACAAGGAGGAGACAAUGACUCCCUGUCUCAGCUUUGAGCAGAAGGAUCAUCCAGGGAUACAGCAGUCUUGCCGCCCAGAUGAUCAGAAGACCCCCCCCGGCGGCAUCCACCUCGCCAACAGAACUACCGGCAGACUCACCAGGCAGCCGAGCGUACUGCAGCACACUACCACCAAACAUCCACCUUAUCGACUCGCCGCUGCCUUCCUGCAUGGCGCACAGGAAGUUCCCACUCACAAGCCGCCCCACCAGAUGGCUCACAGCUGGCAACACCAACCACAGGCAAUGAGCCCUGGUCAGAUCACUGCACUAUGUUAUUUCUUCGUCGGUACGGAGGAGGAGCGCACAGGCACCUGGGGCUGGUGGCACCCCCACAUGCAGAAAGGUGGAGAAUCUUCAAGCCGUAUAACACUUUUAUCUCUGAGAGGGAUCGGCUGACCUUGGCAUCAAGCUUGCCACACGAGACACCUGCAACAGUACUAUCUCCAGCAACAGCAACACCAGUCAUGAUAUUACAGUAUCAGAUGAGCAUAUUUCUAUCAGCUUGUUACCUUGUGUCUGUGUUAUGUUUAGCCUUAUAUAUUAUUUGUGAAGGCGCAACCUCUCUGGGUGGUCCUUGAAGCCUAGCGGCACUAAUACCCAAAGUUUUUGCCUUGCCAGUUAAAGCCCAGUGUUGAUUCCUCACCCUGGCAAAUAUUUUUCAACCCCUCUUUUAAACUGCAAUGAUCAUAAUUUAUACCACAGUGUUUCUAAUAGUAUUUGAUCAUUUAUCAUGUCUAGAUACACACAUGUACCUAGCUAAAUUGUCUCUGACCAAUGAUUAGACACUCUGGCCCCCCAGGUUUGGCGAGCUGCCACUAGUGGGCGCUGGUUGAACAGCCUCAAGCGACGGCUACAAACCGCCUAAUACACGGCUUACCCCAUUACUUAAUUUGCCCAACCUACUACCCAGGUAUACCCACAGAGUCCGGCAAUAAGACUCUCAGCCAGUCAACCUACAGAUCCAUGCUAUGUACCAUGUUAUAUUGCAAUGUUUGUUACCAGUUUCGAGGGGGCUGCCUCUCGUUGCCAUAAACCUCAAAACCCAGCUCUAGAAUUAAUCUUAAUUAUAGUUCAGUAUGUUCUCUUCCCUUCUCAGCUUAGAAAUGCCAAGGUCAGCCCACAAGUAAUAUUCUCUAUAAGCUUAUCGGCUCAUCACCAACUGACAUACCCUGUACCAGCAUGUUUAUUACUCAAAAAAAUGGGAAAAAAAACGUUUUGUUUAGCUUGCUUACCCUUACUAUAAAAUGUGAAUUCUUUCCUAGGUGCCAUGAAAAUGUACCAUAUGUAUUCCCCUCAAAUGCUUGUUUAUGCUGUUGUGGCAAAUAAUGCAUGUUUGUAUUAUAUUGCACGCUAAAG